AAACGUUCACCCUGAUCAUUGCAGGGCGCAGUUCGAGCCAAGCCAUGGAACGGGGACUUGGA
ncrna:Prochlorococcus marinus str. MIT 9303 Glutamine-II riboswitch (downstream peptide RNA)